ACAACGAAGAGUUUGAUCCUGGCUCAGGAUGAACGCUAGCGACAGGCUUAACACAUGCAAGUCGAGGGGCAGCGAGGGGUAGCAAUACUCUGUCGGCGACCGGCGCACGGGUGAGUAACGCGUAUGCAACCUACCUAUCAGAGGGGAAUAACCCGGCGAAAGUCGGACUAAUACCGCAUAAAACAGGGG
rnacentral:rRNA from 1 species